AAAAUUCUUGUAAAAAAAAUUCCCAAAACCUUUCCUACCAAAACUGUACUUACUGAAAUACCAAAUUUCACAAGGCAUAUAGUGAAAACCCUAUUUCUUUUCCCUUUCCCUUCAUUGCUGCUCCCAUUUAUAGGUAAACCCUAUAUUCGAUUUAUCUCCCUUCAGUUUUCUACUUUUCCCCUCUCUUUCUCUGUCAUUAAACAUAAGCUUUGUGCUAUCUACUUCACAAUUUUUCUUCUCAUAAACAUCCACUGAAUUACUUUGUUACAGGUAAGUAUUUCAUGUUUUUGGUUUUAUUUUAUUAUUACUUUUGGUUCAUCUUGUCCGUUGAUCUACCAGGAUUUUAUACAGUUUUCACAAAUUUUUCUUGCUUCUAUUUGGUUGUUUUUACCUAUUUAUGAAUAACCACAAGGUUAAUCUAUAUAUAAUUAAAAAGAGGAUAGUUUGCAAUAGCAUUGUGACAAGUGGCAGUGUAACAGAAUGUCAUGUGUUACAAUUAGUUUAGAAAAUAGUUAAUUAGUUAUUAAGUAAUUAUUAGUUAGUGUUAUUUAAUAAUUAAUUAUAUAUAGAUGUGGAUUUAAAAAAAAAAAAUAACAGGGAAAAAAACAUUCCAGAUGGUGUGGAUACAACUUCCACGUUUCAGUUUUAAAAUUUGGCAAUUAAUUUUCUAUUAAAUUCUUCUGGGAAAAGGAAAAGGAAAAGGGGGAAAUCAGAAAGAAAAAAAAAACCUACUCCUAAAGUAACCCACAUCUACUCCACGUUUCCAUUCCUCAUCUCCAUAAUGGAGCAGUUUACAAAGGGCAAUAAAUCACGAUGCAGCGGUUUGUCAACACUCAUAAUUCUUGACAGAAGUCCUGAAUGUUCUCUGCAAAAAGCUCUCUUUGCACUAAAAGGAAUUAAUGGCGGCUCAAAGUAAUUUUAUUAGCGAAAUUAACACCAAGCCGAUGAAUUGGAGGUUAAAGUGUUUUUGUAGGGCGGCCGAAUUCACGCAAGUGUUGGCAGGAAUAUUAUUCAAAGUUUGAAAACGAUGAACCAAGAAAUCAAGGAAUUGGGUUUGUACAUCAUGAAGAAUUUCAUCGUUUGUCCAAAUAAGGAGAAACUGAGGACCAAAGACCACAAGUGUAAGUUGAUUUUCACGCAGAAGACCAUUGUCGAGGAAAUACAGGAUCCAUAUUUCGACAUGUGUAUCUUCAAAUUCAGACCCUAUGAGCAGUUGUCUAAUCCACAGGACUUUGACAACACCGAACUAUUCGGUAAUUAAAUCUUUUUCCUUUUUUCUUUUACUUUCCGUUAUUUGCUUUCUGUUGUCCAUGGGUUGAACUGAUUGCUAAUACCUACAAACCAAGCUACUAUCUAUAACUAUUAUCUAAAUUAUACUGUUAAACUUUAAACAACAGCCCAUGAGCCAAAGUAGUAAUUUCAAUAAAUCUAAACUCUUUGAGCAUGUGGUGAAUCUCAUGCUUUUACACGUUAAAACCCAAUAUUAUUUCGCAGAACAGGAAAUGAAUCUACUAACAUUACAUAAAAUUAUUUACCGGAGAGAAUGUAUAGGUGGUAGUUUUCAUGAAAUUUCUUAUUAGUAAGAUAGUAAUUGCAGUACUUCCAGUUUCUUUAGAUUCUAUGCAAGAAAAGUAUUAUAGGUUUCUCUCUACUGUUUGUUGGAGGAUCAUUUGUUUUCUUGUGGUGAGUACUAUUGUGGCUAACUGUUGCAACUUAUUUGGAUGAGUCCAGAAUGUUUCUAUAAGCUAUUGUCAUGGUCUAUUUUGAUUAUAUUCUACCUAUUCCAUUUCUUGAAGCCUUGCCUCAAGAUAUCCUGCCUGGUUAGUACAGAAUUAGACUUACUUUAUUUUUACUGUUUGCUGUACUUAUAUUCAUUGAUGCUUAAUUGACUAUAACUGAACUUAUUUCCACUGAAUUAUGGUUGAAUUUAUUUCUAGGUUGAAGCCUAACUAAUUCAUUUUGUUUUACUGUAAAUUUUUUUAAUUGAAUCGUGGUAACCCUGUAUCAUCCAAUGCACGUUUUGGGAACAGAUUAACGCCCACGUAAAUAGAUAACUGUUGCCUAAUCAAGAAAAAAGUAAAAACAAAUAAACAUAUUUGCUCUAUAGUGUGUAUGUUUCUGACCCACUUUUUGUAAACUACCAUCAACACCUACCCCCAGAAUCUCCAUAUAUCUCCCCACUCUUAGCAUUCUCUGUUUCUGCUGCUGCCAUCUUUUCUACUACAUUGUAUCGUCAUGUACUUUGAUAUUUCAUUGUUACUUUGAUGUUUCUGUUCGUGUCUUGAUUAGUUAAAAUAAUUUUUGCUGUCAAUUACUACUAAUUCAAAGUUCUCCGUUAUACAUUUAGCCUGUUGCACGACAAGUUUAAGAUGUCUUGAUUUCAUUUUCUGAAGACUGAAGUACUAACUUGGAUGACCUUUUAAUAUUAUAUUCACUAGCAUAUUAUCUUUGGGGCAAAUGAUUUUUGCUGUCGUGAGUGGUAGGAAUAGCUGCUAACUUUAUAAGAGAUCCAAAAGAUAGAGACUAACUUAUAUGACCAAAUGGAGGAAGUAGUUCCAUUAUCAUGCCAGACGCUACUAGAAAUAAAGGUUUUUUCCACCGUCAUUCAGUGAAAAAUUUAUACUAUAAAACAUGAUUUUCCCACCUCAUUCACAUCGAACAAUCUCACUGAGAAGACGCAUGGUGGAAACAUGUUACCAUUGAAACGGUGGGAAACUUUAUAAUUUUUUCAUGUGAAAACACUACUAUUUAGGUUUUCCCCACUGACAUUCAGUGGAAAAUAGCCACUGAACAUUUUUCUGUGAGAAAUUCAAUGGGAAAAUAGUGAUUUUUAGUAGUGAGAGGCAGCAACACAUUUCUGCUAGAAAGUUUUAUUCAAUGAACGCUCAAAAGAACUGUGGGCUGCAGUAUGACACGAGUGAUGUUGAUUCAUCUUUGACAUUCCUUAAGAAGAGUGGAGGGAAAUCAAUUUUAGGAACGCCUUGGCCUUACACCCCUUCAUAUCGCAACCUGGAUAAAUCACAUUGCAAUAGUUAAGAGGCUACUACUGUUGCAGACCCUAAUGUUAGGUUGUGUUAGUCUUCUGAUCCUUUAGAUGAGCACUUUUUCUUGGACCUAGGAACAUGUCUAAUUAACCAUGAAGCAUGAGCAGACUUAUAAAAUGACAUCACAGCAGCAAAGAACGUAAAUGAAGCAACUUGGUUAUUCAGUUUGUUCUUAAUUGAUGUGUUCUUUUGUAUUUUUUUUAGCCACAUCAUCAUCUAUGGUUUAGUCAUUACUAUUGUUUGCCGUCUGUAUAUUUAGGCACACUUUCGAACUUUAUUGUACUGCAAAUUGAAUGCAGCCCAUGUUUUUGUAAUAAUAAAUUGAUUCACAGCUAAAACUUGAAUCAACUGAAAAAUAUGCGACUAUUGAUAAAGCUUUAGACUUAUCAAUUGAAACUUUUUAAACUCUGUUUAUUACUCUAAGGCCUUAUAAAUUGAUUGAAAAUAUAUGUUUUUUGUCAAGCCGGCAAUUCUUUGAAGUAUUGAAUAAACACCAAUAGAAGUCACUGCUAUCUUAAUAAUCAACGUCACUCAAAACGGCCCAAUUUCUCAACCUCGCAAUGGCUUUAACUGUUGGCAAGCGCAUUAUUAUUUAUUCAAUUUGGCAACAGGAUCAUCAAAUGGUCGCAUUAACCACAGUUGAAAAGGGUAGUAAUCUCCAUCACCGACAAAAAAUUGAAGUAUAGCCACUCCAUUUAUCUGCAAAGAUUGUGAAUUUAAUUGGUUCUUGAAUAUUCAUUUUGGAAUCAAUGGUGUGCUCUGCUUCUGUAGUAGUAGUGCAAAAAUGGUAUAUGCAUGUGGUGCAUUGAGGUUUCUUCAAAUUUCUAUCAGUAUUUGGACAGAUGAGCUUAACGAUAUGAGACGCAAAGAUCAUUUGAGAAUUAACUGUACUUCGGAGAAGAAAAGAGAAGUUAUGUGGCUUAAUAAUUCACUGUUCCUAAACGUUAUGCUACUUAUUUUCCAAUGUUAAGUACUGUGCUAUCUAAUAAAAGGGAUAUACGGAGUUGAUGAAAGGAGAUACGACAUCAACAAAGAUUGUUGCUUAGCAUGUCUAUUUUGCAAAUUCGUGAGCAUUAAUGAUGGAUUGUUUUGUUGAUGGUCGCUAUUAUUCAUAUUCAUUAGCGCACAGGGAGAAGAAUUAUGUUGACCAUUUGUGGCAAAAACAACUGUGAUGAUUUUCCUGGACAGCAAGUACAAUUAAUAAUACCUUCAGCUUUUUACUUUGAUUCAUCAAAAAACAAAGACAAGAUUAUUUUAAGCUGUUAGCAUUCACACAAAACGAAAAAGGGGAACACGUUAACAAUGUACUUCUUUCGUCAUUUGGUCUAUGUCAGAAUAAGUUUUGACUAGAAUUUAUGCUGCUGUAUAAAGUACUUCCAUAUAUUAGAAUUGUUACGGUAAUUUUAAUCUACCAAAGUAUUGUUUAAGAGGAAGUGUUGUUAGGUUCUCACCGAGUGAUUACUCCACAUCACCGUGUCGCGCAUCGCGAGGGUACUUAUACUAGUAUUAGUUAAAAAGUGUUAUAGUAGCUAAACCCAUAUUCCAUUUGUUGUUUUUCUUCAAGAUUUUUUUGGGUUUUGCUUAUUUUUACAGGUUUGGCUUCAAUAUUAUCAUCUUUUUUCUUCUCUGUUUCUCCUAAUUCAUUACUCAUACAGGUUUACAUUUUUCUUCAUUUAUUGAAGUGCUAGUUACUCUCUGAUUACACUUCGAUAUUAUGUUUGUUGUGGGUUUUCUUGUUCAGAUAGCUAUCUACCAUUACCAUAAUGAUUUUUUCCUAGUUAACUUAAAGGAGACUUUAUCCUGCUUUACAAUAUGCUUAUGUGAGAUUUUUCGAAAUUUUGCCGAAAUAUGGGUUUUUGGGUUUCUAGACUAUUGUUUAAAUUGGAUGAAAUUGUGUGCUUUAAAAUGUAAUUGGUAUUACUCAUCAAACCCAUCUCAACAAAGUGUUUUCUCUAAUUUCUGAUCAAUUUGGUAAAAGAAUUGAAAAUAUCGGUGCUAUUUGCGUGUUUUGUGUGGAUGCGGACGCCGGAGCUCUAGUCCCUGCUUCAAUUUUUCUUUUUUCUGCUCAUGUUGUUUCUAGCUAUAAUAGGUAUACGCGGGUACUUUCCACAAUCAUUAUUUUAUUUGAGAGCUUUGUUGUAAAGAUUUUCUUUAACAAUUUUUCCUUUGCCUUUAAUACAUAUAUAUUGUAGAUUUUACUCAACUUUUUAAAUUCAUAUAUUGUGCACCUUGCUAUUUGCAAGUACUAUGUUGUGGUUCUGUUAGAACAUUUGAAAGUUGCAUUUGCAGAUUCAUGAACGGGGUUGCACUUUUCUUCCUUUUCUUUGGGUAACUAACAGAGUUGCAGCACUACAAGAAAAUGUCAAAAUUGUGACGGAAUAUUUGAGAUGGAGCAGUUCUGUCACAAAUUGUGACAAAAUUGUGAUGGAUCAACCUUUCAUACAUAAAAAAUUUUAAAAAACUUUUUUUCCCAUAAAAGUUUUGAGGGUAACGGAUUUGUGACAAAUUUUAAAUAUGAUUUUUGUGACGGACAUAUUUUCGUCACAAAUUAAGGCUGAUAAGAAAAAAUGACAAUUAUUUGUCACAAAUCCGUAACAAAAAUUGUGACGGAUUGAAUAUUCCGUCACAAAUAUAAUAACAAGACAAUUAAUAACAAAUAUAUAAAUUUGUGAUAGAUUUGUUUCCCUCACAACAACAAAAUUAGGCAACUUUUUAAUUUUGGCCCCAAAAAUUUUCACUACUUUUUAGUUUCCCACAAAAAUUUGACCCCAUUACAUUUCAGCAAAAUAGCUUCACUUCCCCCAAAAUUAGACCCCAUUACAUUUCAGCAAAGUAGCUUUACUUUCCCCAAAAUUAGACCCUUCUAAGCUUCGAUUCCGUUAAUUUCUCGAUGAUUUCAGUAAAGUAGCAAGCCGUUCACUUCGACUCCGCUGUCAUCUUCACUAGGAGGUUUAGUUUUUCACUAUUAACCAAAACUUACAGUGAAUAACUUUUGGAUCUUCAUAUUGGGUCCUUCAAUUCUUGCUCAAAUUUGUCUCUGAUUUCCUGUGUAAGUAUUCUAAAGUGAAUAAUUUUUGGAUCUUGUUAUUAGAUCUUUCAAUCUAUGUUUAAAAAAACUCCUACCAGCUUUUGCAUGCACCGAUUUUUGAAUUUUUUGUGGUGGGUCUUCAUCAAACUAGAAUAUUGCGUCCUUCACUUGAAGUGGGUAAAAUUUUGAUCACUUUCUUUCUGAUUUGAACAAAUUUUGGGCUAAAUGGAAAAGCUUUGAUUUUACUAAAGGAAUUUUUUGUUGCAAUGUUGAUUUUCCUAAAGGAACUCCCGAUGUUCAUGAUCAAUUUAUGGUCGCAAUGGUUACGUCCUAAAAAUCACUCUUUGUUAUCAAAAGAAAAGGGUUCGUAGUAUAAGCUUGGUGCCGAAGUUCAUGUUUUACUUUAUAGUAUUAUCAUAGAUGUACUUAUUUCACUAUCUUUUGUAGCUCAGAUCAUUUGAGUGAUAUUCGUAGUAUUAUCCUAGUUGUGCCUUUAGUUUUGAAGCUUAUAUGUCUAGAUAUUGGUAGCUCGUAUCGUCUUAUGGUGUAUUGCAAGAGGAGAAGGCAAAGAGGAGUUCUUUCUUCAAGGUUUGCAUUUUAUAGAGCUUAUUACUUCUUUUUGCUGAUUUGUUGGACUCGAUGAGGAGACUUUGGCGUGAUCACUCAUGUAAGUAUUUGGCGGCACUUUCCGGGUAACUAAUAUUCAUCAUAGAAUCAAGUAAGUUUAGGAUAAAUAGAAAGUAAGUUUAGGAUAACUAGAAUUCUUGAAACUUGACUGAAGAGGUUUUUUAGUUGAUUUUGCUUUUCAUUUUCUUAUAUUCAAAGUACAAUUGUUUCAUUGUUGAUACAGGUGAAUCUGUUGGAGUACAUUAGUUUAUUUGAAUUUGUUAAGUUUAGAGCAUGAAGAGAACAAUGCAAACUAAUAUAGUUAAUUAGUCUAGCUUACCUACUACCUUAGCAGAUGUUUUUGGUAAUAGGAUGCUGGUCCUAAUUCACGGUUAAGAGAAUUCAUUAAUUCAAUUCAAUUACAAUUUAUUGUUGGAUGACAUUUCAUUUUAGAUGGUAACUUGCUUCUAUUUUAAAAGCUUUUAGAGAUGGACUUUGUUUGACUUGAAAAUAAGUAGGUUUGGUAUGUGUGCUACUAGUAUGGGGGUUGUUUCAACAUUUCAUCGAGUCAGAGGGCAUUUCAACCAUUUAUCUUCAAAAAUGGAGGAAUGGUAGUUAUGCCACCCAAUUGUUCGAUGAAAUGACUCAAAUAAAUUUGGAUGUGCUGAAGUCUGAGUAGCCUUAAUUCAUGAAACUCCCCCAGUAUGUGAAGGGGUGUGUGUGUGAGUCCAAAUGAUUGUCUGUUCAUGUCAAGGGGUGUUCAUUUUUAGUGUUAUUAGUUAGAAAUACAUCUAAAUGAUGUUUUGAGAAUAAGAAAUACAUCAAUCACAUUUUUAAACUAAAAAAAAAAUGUUUUACAUGGAGAUUAAUAUACAAGUUCAGUAUGAAAAUUGAUCACUUUUCCAUAUCCUUUUAAGGCUUUUUGUUAAGUGUUUCAGUUAAUAGUAAUGAGAGCUAUGUCGUUCUAAUUGUUUCUGGUGAAAGAAAAAAAAGGUACUUUAUAUGUAGUAAAGAUUAUUUUUUGAGAAUACUAGUUAAAAGUUUUUAAGUUAAAAGAUUGUUAUGACUUUGUUGACAAGGCUGAGUGGUUGGAUCCCAACUCUAUAUCUUCAUAGGUGGUUUGUCUAAUUUGGCUAAGAUAAUUUUUGUUGGUAGCCAGCUUUGAAUACCUUCCCUUUUUUUUUUUUUUUUUGCUAAGAUAAUAUAGGCUAAACAGAUUUUGGAUGAAAUAGUGUUAGAAUCUUUUGGUGGCUCUUCAUCAACCUUUUGUCUUAUCGUGUAUUGCAACUUAUUUUGCAGAAAUGUUCAAGGCUUGCAUUUUGUAGAGCUUCUUACUUCGUUUUGCUGAUUUGUGGGAUUCAGUGGAGGGACUUUGGCGUAAUCAUUCAUCAAAAUAAUUAUUUUGAUAAGGGAGCUGAGGCUAAAACAGAGUAGCUGAUGUAACAGACUGGAGCAUCGUUCUCUAACCAUGCAUAGAGGAGGAGAUUUCACAUUUGAGUGAACAGAGAGAAGGUCGGUUACAUUAUGUGGAGGAGCGAUUUAUGUGUGCAUGAUGAGUGAGAUGGCAUUAUCAUUCCUUCUUCGAUUCUCGUCCCUUUGAUACUGACUCUUCGGAUGCUUUAGUGGUUACUAAUGUUAGACUUUUGUUAACUUUAUACUCAGUCUUUAGUAUUUCUAAAUUUUUAUAGAAGAAUUUAUGUAUUUGCAAUUUUUAAAUUCAUUUGUAAUAUAUUUCAUAGUAUGAAAGUUACAUUUUUGUUAUUGUUAAUUAUUUUGUGCUUUUAGCUAA